rnacentral:rRNA from 1 species
UACGAAGGGGGCUAGCGUUGCUCGGAAUCACUGGGCGUAAGGGUGCGUAGGCGGGUCUUUUAAAGUCAGAGGUGAAAUCCUGGAGCUCAACUCCAGAACUGCCUUUGAUACUGAGGAUCUUGAGUACGGGAGAGGUGAGUGGAACUGCGAGUGUAGAGGUGAAAUUCGUAGAUAUUCGCAAGAACACCAGUGGCGAAGGCGGCUCACUGGCCCAUAACUGACGCUGAGGCACGAAGCAUGGGGAG